UUCAUUUAUUAUGGGGAAUCUCUAACGUACAACUUCAUUUUCAUUACAGGUAUGUGCUCAGAAAAAUUCCACAUGACCAUGGGGGAAAAAAAACAGAGACCUGUUUUUAAGACACUGGUUGAUCAAAUCAUGAAACAUGGUUGCUCUUACCAGUGCUUCCUAUAAUAGCUAGCAUCUGACCACUGUGAACCUUUAAAUUCAAGUUCUGGAUUAUUGUCACGUGAGAAUCAGGACCUGAGUUCCAGGGCAAUAGCAAUUGCAUCUGCGUGAGUUUCUCAUACCACGGAAUCUGGGAUGCCAGGUUAACCUAACAAAGAAUAAAAGCAAACAAUAAACUACUUCACGAAGAAAUGGGUGACUGUUGGAGUGUUAAUGUCUACUGGAUCAAAAU